rnacentral:rRNA from 1 species
UUUACAGUAUAAGUCUUUUUUUACUUAAAAUUUUAAUUUAUAUUUUUAGUAAGAAUACUAAAAUAAAAAAAAGGGACGAUAAGACCCUGAAAGCUUAAAACGAUAACUAUAAAAAUUUUUAUUUAGAAUUAUAGUGUUGUUAUUAGCUGGGGAAGUUUUUAUAAAAAAACUAUAAUUAAUUAAUACGUUGUUUUUAUGGUCCUUUAUAUAAGGAUAGUUAGAAAAAGUUACUUCAGGGAUAACAGCAUAAUAAUUUUGUAGAGUUCUUAUCGAUAAAAUUGAGUGUGACCUCGA